rnacentral:rRNA from 1 species
CCAAUAGCGUAUAUUAAAGUUGUUGCAGUUAAAAAGCUCGUAGUUGAAUUUCGGGGUCAGCAAGUUGGUCGUGCCACCGGUAUGUACUGGCUUUGCUGAUUCCUCCUUCUUGUAGAACCGUAAUGCCAUUCAGUUGGUGUUGCGGGGAAACAGGACUGUUACUUUGAAAAAAUUAGAGUGUUUAAAGCAGGCUAACGCCUGAAUACAUUAGCAUGGAAUAAUGAAAUAGGACGAGCGAUCCUAUUUUGUUGGUUUCUAGGAUUGACGUAAUGAUUAAUAGGGAUAGUUGGGGGCAUUAGUAUUCAAUUGUCAGAGGUGAAAUUCUUGGAUUUAUUGAAGACUGACUACUGCGAAAGCAUUUGCCAAGGAUGUUUUCAUUAAUCAAGAACGAAAGUUAGGGGAUCGAAGACGAUCAGAUACCGUCGUAGUCUUAACCAUAAACUAUGCCGACUAGGGAUCGGAUGAUGUUAAUUUUUUAAUGACUCAUUCGGCGCCUUACG